GACGAACGCUGGCGGCGUGCUUAACACAUGCAAGUCGAACGGAAAGGCCCUGCUUGCAGGGUACUCGAGUGGCGAACGGGUGAGUAACACGUGGGUGAUCUGCCCUGCACUUCGGGAUAAGCCUGGGAAACUGGGUCUAAUACCGGAUAGGAGCCAUUUUUAGUGUGAUGGUUGGAAAGUUUUUUCGGUGUAGGAUGAGCUCGCGGCCUAUCAGCUUGUUGGUGGGGUAAUGGCCUACCAAGGCGGCGACGGGUAGCCGGCCUGAGAGGGUGGACGGCCACAUUGGGACUGAGAUACGGCCCAGACUCCUACGGGAGGCAGCAGUGGGGAAUAUUGCACAAUGGGCGCAAGCCUGAUGCAGCGACGCCGCGUGGGGGAUGACGGCCUUCGGGUCGUAAACUCCUUUCGCUAGGGACGAAGCUUUUUGUGACGGUACCUAGAUAAGAAGCACCGGCUAACUACGUG
rnacentral:rRNA from 1 species